rnacentral:rRNA from 1 species
UACAGACGGUCUCAAGCGUUGUUCGGAUUCAUUGGGCGUAAAGGGUGCGUAGGCGGCGUGGUAAGUCGGGUGUGAAUCUCGGAGCUUAACUCCGAAACUGCAUUCGAUACUGCCGUGCUUGAGGACUGGGAGAGGAGACUGGAAUUUACGGUGUAGCGGUGAAAUGCGUAGAUAUCGUAAGGAAGACCAGUGGCGAAGGCGGGUCUCUGGACAGUUCCUGACGCUGAGGCACGAAGGCCAGGGGAGCAAACGGG